rnacentral:rRNA from 1 species
UACAGAGGUCUCAAGCGUUGUUCGGAUUCAUUGGGCGUAAAGGGUGCGUAGGUGGCGUCGUAAGUCGGGUGUGAAAUUUCGGAGCUUAACUCCGAAACUGCAUUCGAUACUGCGGUGCUUGAGGACUGGAGAGGAGACUGGAAUUUACGGUGUAGCAGUGAAAUGCGUAGAGAUCGUAAGGAAGACCAGUGGCGAAGGCGGGUCGUCUGGACAGUUCCUGACACUGAGCACGAAGGCCAGGGGAGCAAACGGG